CCUACGGGAGGCAGCAGUGGGGAAUAUUGGACAAUGGAGGAAAGUCUGAUGCAGCGACGCCGCGUGAGGGAAGAAGGCUUUCGGGAUGUAAAGCUCUAUCAGCAGGGAAGAUAAGGACGGUACCUGACUAAGAUGAGCCGGCUAACUACGUGCCAGCAGCAGCGGUAAUACGUAGGGGGCAAGCGUUAUCCGGAUUUACUGGGUGUAAAGGGAGCGUAGGUGGCAGGGCAAGUCAGAUGUGAAAACCCGGGGCUCAACCCCGGGAGUGCAUUUGAAACUGUCCAGCUGGAGUGCAGGAGAGGUAAUCGGAAUUCCUAGUGUAGCGGUGAAAUGCAUAGAUAUUAGGAAGAACACCAGUGGCGAAGGCGGCUUACUGGACGGUAACUGACACUGAGGCUCGAAAGCGUGGGGAGCAAACAGGAUUAGAUACCCUUGUAGUC
rnacentral:rRNA from 1 species